UACGGAAGGGGCAAGCGUUGUUCGGAAUCAUUGGGCGUAAAGGGCGCGUAGGUGGUUCUGUAUGUCUACCGUGAAAGCAUACAGCUCAACUGUAUUUUGUCGGUAGAAACUGCAGGACUUGAGGCUGGGAGGGGCUGGUGGAAUUCCCUGUGUAGCGGUGAAAUGCGUAGAGAUGGGGGAGAACACCCGUGGCGAAGGCGGUUCUCUGGGACGGUACUGACGCUGAGACGCGAAAGCGUGGGGAGCGAACAGG
rnacentral:rRNA from 1 species